GUUUUUCUGCUGUGUCCGUGUAAUCCUGAUGGAUUUUGCGGCCCAUGAAACCCACAUCUCUUAUAAGGGAUGCCGAUUUGAGUCUGCGGAUUGCAGGCCUCCCGGUUCACCCCGGAAGUUGGAAGCAGCGAAACAGAACUUAGGCAACCCACCUGCUCUUCUGUGCAGGUUACCUAUGGGCCGGCACGGCACAAGCGGGCACCCU
rnacentral:other from 1 species